CCUCAUGGUAUCAUUAAUUGGCAUCGAUUGAUGAUUAAAGGUUACGGUAAGAGAUGGCUAUGCGUCCUAUUAGCUAGUAGGUAUGGUAACGGCAUACCUAGGCGACGAUAGGUAGGGGCCCUGAGAGGGGGAUCCCCCACACUGGUACUGAGACACGGACCAGACUCCUACGGGAGGCAGCAGUGAGGAAUAUUGGUCAAUGGACGGAAGUCUGAACCAGCCAUGCCGCGUGCAGGAAGACUGCCCUAUGGGUUGUAAACUGCUUUUAUAUAGGAAGAAACCCAGAUACGUGUAUUUGGCUGACGGUACUAUAAGAAUAAGCAUCGGCUAACUCCGUGCCAGCAGCCGCGGUAAUACGGAGGAUGCAAGCGUUAUCCGGAAUCAUUGGGUUUAAAGGGUCCGUAGGUGGAUUAAUAAGUCAGAGGUGAAAUCCUGCAGCUCAACUGUAGAACUGCCUUUGAUACUGUUAAUCUUGAGUCAUUAUGAAGUGGUUAGAAUGAGUAGUGUAGCGGUGAAAUGCAUAGAUAUUACUCAGAAUACCGAUUGCGAAGGCAGAUCACUAAUAAUGUACUGACACUGAGGGACGAAAGCGUGGGGAGCGAACAGGAUUAGAUACCCUGGUAGUCCACGCUGUAAACGAUGGUCACUAGCUGUUGGGUUUUCGGACUCAGUGGCUAAGCGAAAGUGAUAAGUGACCCACCUGGGGAGUACGUUC
rnacentral:rRNA from 1 species